UACGUAGGGCGCAAGCGUUGUCCGGGAUUACUGGGCGUAAAGCGUGCGUAGGCGGUUCGUUAAGUCAGCUGUGAAAGCCCCGGGCUCAACCUGGGAACUGCGGUUGAAACUGGCGAACUAGAAUCUGGCAGAGGGGGGUGGAAUUCCACGUGUAGCAGUGAAAUGCGUAGAGAUGUGGAGGAACACCGAUGGCGAAGGCAGCCCCCCUGGGCUGAGAUUGACGCUCAGGCACGAAAGCGUGGGGGAGCAAACAGG
rnacentral:rRNA from 1 species